rnacentral:rRNA from 1 species
AUUGAACGCUGGCGGCAGGCCUAACACAUGCAAGUCGAGCGGAUGAAGGGAGCUUGCUCCUGGAUUCAGCGGCGGACGGGUGAGUAAUGCCUAGGAAUCUGCCUGGUAGUGGGGGAUAACGUCCGGAAACGGGCGCUAAUACCGCAUACGUCCUGAGGGAGAAAGUGGGGGAUCUUCGGACCUCACGCUAUCAGAUGGGCCUAGGUCGGAUUAGCUAGUUGGUGGGGUAAAGGCCUACCAAGGCGACGAUCCGUAACUGGUCUGAGAGGAUGAUCAGUCACCCUGGAACUGAGACAAGGUCCAGACUCCUACGGGAGGCAGCAGUGGGGAAUAUUGGACAAUGGGCGAAAGCCUGAUCCAGCCAUGCCGCGUGUGUGAAGAAGGUCUUCGGAUUGUAAAGCACUUUAAGUUGGGAGGAAGGGCAGUAAGUUAAUACCUUGCUGUUUUGACGUUACCAACAGAAUAAGCACCGGCUAACUUCGUG